UACGAAGGGGGCUAGCGUUGUUCGGAAUUACUGGGCGUAAAGCGCACGUAGGCGGAUUUGUAAGUAGGGGGUGAAAUCCCAGGGCUCAACCCUGGAACUGCCUUCUAAACUGCAAGUCUGGAGGUCAGGAGAGGCGAGUGGAAUACCGAGUGUAGAGGUGAAAUUCGUAGAUAUUCGGUGGAACACCAGUGGCGAAGGCGACUCGCUGGACUGAUACUGACGCUGAGGUGCGAAAGCGUGGGGAGCAAACAGG
rnacentral:rRNA from 1 species